CUGGAAGCCAUGUGAACACUAAUUGAUCACUACAGAAUCACUACUCAUUUCAACAAUUAUUUCCUUCAUGCGAGAGUUGCACAGGAGGUUGCUGUAAAGCAGCUCUGCGAGGUCAGACCACGCCAACGUCGAGUGGACCUACAAUGCCAUCGGGUGGUGUACUGCCGCAGGUGCUGGCGAAUCAUCUCCACCCGCUCCACCUCCAGCCUCUCCAACUCCUGAGGACAGCAGAGACACACAGCGCAAAGCCAUCAUCAUACUGUUACAGUGCUGCUGGAUCCAUAACCAUGAGGUCCCCUCGGCUUCUUCAUUGACGAGCUCGACGCUCUUCUGAGCUCCCUCCCUGAUGACACCACACUGACUCUACUGGGAGACUUCAAUAUUCCAUCUGCAACCUCCCCGAUGGCCAGCGUAAUCUCCCUCCUCCAAUCCUUCGUCCUCAACCUCUUGCCAUCAUCUGCGACCCACAAGGCCGGCAACCAGCUCGACCUCGUGUUCACCAGGAGCUGUGCCACAACCCACCUCAGGGUGACUUCCCUCCAUGUAUCGGACCACUACUUCAUAUCAUUCUCCCUCACUCUCCCCUCCACCCUGAACCCCCCUACUGA